GAUGAACGCUGGCGGCGUGCCUAAUACAUGCAAGUCGAGCGAACAGACGAGGAGCUUGCUCCUCUGACGUUAGCGGCGGACGGGUGAGUAACACGUGGAUAACCUACCUAUAAGACUGGGAUAACUUCGGGAAACCGGAGCUAAUACCGGAUAAUAUAUUGAACCGCAUGGUUCAAUAGUGAAAGACGGUUUUGCUGUCACUUAUAGAUGGAUCCGCGCCGCAUUGGCUAGUUGGUAAGGUAACGGGUUACCAAGGCAACGAGGCGUAGCCGACAUGAGAGGGUGAUCGGCCGCACUGGAACUGAGACACGGUCCAGACUCCUACGGGAGGCAGCAGUAGGGAAUCUUCCGCAAUGGGCGAAAGCCUGACGGAGCAACGCGGCGUGAGUGAUGAAGGUCUUCGGAUCGUAAAACUCUGUUAUUAGGGAAGAACAAAUGUGUAAGUAACUAUGCACGUCUUGACGGUACCUAAUCAGAAAGCCACGGCUAACUACGUG
rnacentral:rRNA from 1 species